rnacentral:lncRNA from 1 species
AUUUUUCUUCUUCAUGAAUCAUCUUCAAAACAGCAUUGCUCUGGGAAGAAAAAGAUUACCUGAGAGUGAAGGAUUUGAGAGACUGGUUGAGCCUAUUUUAAUAACUCAGGAGUGAUAACAGAGGCCUUGCAAGAGCAGGAAAGGUAGGGAUGGAGUAGAUGGGCAGAUUUGAGAAAUAUUUAAUGGGAAAAUUGGCAACACUUAAUGGUUGAUUAUGAGGGAGAAGUUAUAGGUAGCUCCCAAGUAGUCUAGGUGAUUGGUACAUAGUGG